rnacentral:tRNA from 1 species
GCGCAGUUAGCUCAACGGUAGAGCAUUCGCCUUACACGCGAAGGGUUAUAGGUUCGAAUCCUAUACUGCGCA